rnacentral:rRNA from 1 species
CAGUCGCCGCGGUAAUACGAAGGGUGCAAGCGUUAAUCGGAAUUACUGGGCGUAAAGCGUGCGUAGGCGGUGAGUUAAGUCUGCUGUGAAAUCCCCGGGCUCAACCUGGGAAUGGCAGUGGAUACUGGCUCGCUAGAGUGUGUCAGAGGAUGGUGGAAUUCCCGGUGUAGCGGUGAAAUGCGUAGAGAUCGGGAGGAACAUCAGUGGCGAAGGCGGCCAUCUGGGACAACACUGACGCUGAGGUACGAAAGCGUGGGGAGCAAACAGGAUUAGAUACCCCGGUAGUCCCUGUCUCUUAUAC